rnacentral:misc_RNA from 1 species
GCUAUGCGUUGAGACCUAAAUAUCAUGUUAAACCUCAAUUACUUUAAAACUUAGGCAAAUAGAACAAAAGCCUCAUAGAAUUAGAACUUUAGAGUUGACUCUGAUGCCAUCUAAACACUCAAAUUAAUAUGAAAAUCUAAGUUAUUGGGAUGAAAGCAUGGGCAUCAUAUCCUAUUUUAAUGUUAUUAUAUAUAAAAUCCUUAAUAAAGUGUCAAUUUCAUCUUCUGGCAAAUGCAUUAAUUCCUUAUUGGUU